CUGCAGCUUGUACUUGUAUAGAGCAGAGUUAUUGUAAAAACUAAACCAGACCAUCUCUUCCAGAUGAUCUGGGCUUUAGUGUGUUUGAAUCUAUCCUCAGAUGAACAAUAAUGCACACCAGGUUUCAUUGUCAUUAUUUAUUUAACAGAAGCAAAGCCGAAAUGAAAAAGCCGUGAGUGAAAAACUAAGUGCACCCUUGCUUCUUUACAGGACUAUAGAGGGAGAGUAGGGGCUGCUCAUUGAGGUACUUGACUGAACAUCAGCACAUGUAGCCACCUCUGCAGAAGCAGGCGUUGAUAACACGAUCAGAAAGGAAAUACAUCAGCAAUAACAAUACCUAAGCCAUUACUACUGCCCAUCGAUCAGGAAAGGGUCAUAAGGUCAAUUCCAAACAAUCUGAAACCCAUCAUUCUACAGCAAGAGAGGGAUUAUUUACACAUUUAACGAUCUUAUAUGAGUAAACAUUUCAACAAAUUGUGACCAUGGGGUCAGACUGUGCAAUGCUCAGAGAAAUGGCUAAAUAAAUCUCCAGCUCAAGGCCUACAGGCCUCAGUGAGCAAGUUAAUGAUAAAGUUCAGGAUAGCUAAAAAAAGGACUAAACGAGUAUGCAUUAUUUGGAAUGGUUACUAAGAGAAAGCCUCUUCUCUCUAAAUUGUGUAUGGCAACAUGACUUAGUUUCCACAGUUUCCCCAGAAUGCACCAUAAUAGUUCUGCAACAUUGUCCUUUGGAAAGAGAUGCUUGAUCAUAAUGUAGAGUACUAUGUUUGAAAAACUACUUACUGUCAAGCACAGUGGUGGAGGAAUGAUGAUUUGGGCUUAAAUCAACCAAGAUAUACCUAAGUACGUAUGAGACAAAUCUGAGGCCAUCUGCUCGACAGCUGAAGCUUGGCGUUUGUGGGACCAUUAACCUCUGCUCUGAAACUUUAUUUACAACCUUUGUUGCCAACUCUAUAGAUGAAGCAUGUCCAUGACAUUUAGUGACAUCAUAAACAGCCAGGUGCGUUUGCGAAGACUCUGGAUUGAAGCAAUGCCCUGAUUGAAAAGGGAGAAGAUGUAUGCAGUCAGGCCCUUUAUUUAUUCCACUGGAAUACAUACAGUCAGACAGCUUUCCAGAUUUGAAGAUAACCUCCAGGAGGACACCACAGCUCCACGCUUGCCUGUCAGAUGGGAUCCAGUGCGUGGACUCUUCACGUCACCACUCUGCGAAGGAGGCAUUGAUUUGUGUUCAGGCCGGUCAGACUCUGCAUCAGAUCUUCCUUCAUGCUUCCUGUGCUGAGUCGAAGCUGGAUCUUGACUCUUCAUGAAGAUUGGAAGAUAGAUGAAGAUAUUAGAUCAACUUUCAAGUCUUGCCACAGAUUCUCGAUUUUAUAGAUAUGUUGUAUUAAUAAAAAAAAUGGAGAUGUGUUGAAAAUGACUAUAUUUCUUUUGCAUGUAGAUUGUUUUUUUGCCAUUAUGGUGACUUGCUUACUUUUGGGGGGAAAAAAGACAAAAAAAGAGUAAAGAGAUUUAACUAAAAGCCAAGAGUAAAAUUUAUAUAAAAAAAGUGCUUUUCAGAGACAGAAGUCUACAAGAAGGGGAUCAGAAAACUAAAAGUUCAACCAACAAAGUCUGGCAGCAGCUUUAUGAAAAGCUUGGUGGUAUGAAAUAGAUUUUUUUUAUAUAGGCCUGUAAACAGUGCAUUACAAUAAUCUAAACAUGAUGACAAGAAGAAGACAAAAUCAUAUGCCACAACUUUGAUAUACUCCCCAAUGAAAGAUAACAUACUUGAUGUGUCUCCAAGAAGGAAUCAGAUUUGAAAAGAAAAUUACAAAUGCUGGAUUUGGUUGUUGUGCAAAAGGAAGCAAGAGCUUGACUAUUGCCUGGAUGUAAUUUGGGUGGGGCAUAUUUUCAGUCUUAAUGUCAUUUUGGACAGGAUAAAUUAUAAAAACCCACAGUCAUCGGCAUGGAGGUGAUAGGAAAUGUCAGAAAGACUGAAUGAUGCUAAUCAGUGAAAAAAAUAAAAUAAUAAUGGACCUAGGACUGGACCUUGUGGAAUCCCACAAUUUACAAAGAUGGUGUAGGAGGAGUGGUAUAGCUGUUUUUCUGAAGGCUAGAACACAUAAAACAAAAGCAGGGACUUUCACUUAAUGAUUGCAAGUAUACAUAACAUCUGCAACAGAAAAAAAUAGGCAGCAUUUUAAAACAAUUUCAUUGAUUAACAUUUGACAGCUUUCAGACAAACAGCUGGUGUAAAAACAAAA